UACAGAGGUCCCAAGCGUUGUUCGGAUUCACUGGGCGUAAAGGGUGCGUAGGUGGUGAGGUAAGUCGGAUGUGAAAGCUCGGAGCUCAACUCCGAAAUGGCAUUGGAAACUACCUUGCUCGAGGGUUGGAGGGGGGACUGGAAUUUACAGUGUAGCAGUGAAAUGCGUAGAGAUCGUAAGGAAGACCAGUGGCGAAGGCGGGUCUCUGGACAGUUCCUGACACUGAGGCACGAAGGCCAGGGGAGCAAACGGG
rnacentral:rRNA from 1 species